UACCAGCUCUCCGAGUGGUAGGGAUGAUUAUUGGGCUUAAAGCGUCCGUAGCCGGCUUAGCAAGUCUCCUGUUAAAUUCAGCGACCUAAUCGUUGAGCCGCGGGAGAUACUACUAGGCUAGGAGGCGGGAGAGGUCAACGGUACUUCCGGGGUAGGGGUGAAAUCCUAUAAUCCCGGGAGGACCACCAGUGGCGAAGGCUGUUGACUAGAACGCGCUCGACGGUGAGGGACGAAAGCUGGGGGAGCGAACCGGAUUAGAUACCCGGGUAUCCCAGCUGUAAACGAUGCGAGCUAGGUGUUGGGGUGGCUACGUGCCACUUCAGUGCCGCAGGGGAAGCCAUUAAGCUCGCUGCCUGGGGAGUACGGCCGCAAGGCUAGAAACUUAAAGGAAUUGGGCGGGGAGCACCACAAGGCGUGAAGCUUGCGGUUC
rnacentral:rRNA from 1 species